GUGGGGAAUCUUGCGCAAUGGGCGAAAGCCUGACGCAGCCAUGCCGCGUGGAUGAUGAAGGUCUUAGGAUUGUAAAAUCCUUUCACCGGUGAAGAUAAUGACUGUAGCCGGAGAAGAAGCCCCGGCUAACUUCGUGCCAGCAGCCGCGGUAAUACGAAGGGGGCUAGCGUUGCUCGGAUUUACUGGGCGUAAAGGGCGCGUAGGCGGACAUUUAAGUCAGGGGUGAAAUCCCGGGGCUCAACCUCGGAACUGCCUUUGAUACUGGGUGUCUUGAGUAUGGGAGAGGUGUGUGGAACUCCGGGUGUAGAGGUGAAAUUCGUAGAUAUUCGGAAGAACACCAGUGGCGAAGGCGACACACUGGCUCAUUACUGACGCUGAGGCGCGAAAGCGUGGGGAGCAAACAGGAUUAGAAACCCCGGUAGUCC
rnacentral:rRNA from 1 species